UGAGGGGUGCGGGCAAGGCGUGCUGCAAAUUGCUUUGUACUGGGAUUUCUUGGCCAACGCAAAUAUCUUUAUCGAUAAGAUCAAUUUAGAUGGAGCUGACUACCUAAUGUUAGAUGAGAGCAGAUCCUCUGUCUCAAUUUUUCCUGUCCUUCUUGUGUCUUCCCACUUAAAUUUUGACACCUAGCCUUUUAUUUAAUUUUAAAGUUAAUUAGUGUUAAGUAGGAGGUUAGAUGUCAAAAUUUAAGUGAGGGGACACAGGAAACAGGGAAAAUGGGGACAAAGCUCUCAUGUUAGAUGGGUUUCAAUGGAGAAGAAAGUCACUUGACAUUCCCAAAAUGGGUAUUGUCGAUUUUGGCAUUCAGCCUACCUUGGAGGGCAUCUAAGACGGUUAGUAUAUUAUGUUGCAAGUCCUGUUUGUCAUUCUAUGUACUCGAUGAUGAUUUAGUGCUGAAUUGUUCACAAAGCC
rnacentral:lncRNA from 1 species